rnacentral:rRNA from 1 species
UACGUAGGGUGCAAGCGUUGUCCGGAAUUAUUGGGCGUAAAGAGCUCGUAGGCGGUUUGUCACGUCGGAUGUGAAAACUCCAGGCUCAACCUGGAGCCGCCAUUCGAUACUGCUAUGGCUAGAGUCCGGUAGGGGAGUGUGGAAUUCCCGGUGUAGCGGUGAAAUGCGCAGAUAUCGGGAGGAACACCGAUGGCGAAGGCAGCACUCUGGGCCGGUACUGACGCUGAGGAGCGAAAGCGUGGGGAGCGAACAGG